UACGAAGGGGGCUAGCGUUGUUCGGAAUUACUGGGCGUAAAGCGCACGUAGGCGGAUCGAUCAGUCAGGGGUGAAAUCCCAGGGCUCAACCCUGGAACUGCCUUUGAUACUGUCGAUCUGGAGUAUGGAAGAGGUGAGUGGAAUUCCGAGUGUAGAGGUGAAAUUCGUAGAUAUUCGGAGGAACACCAGUGGCGAAGGCGGCUCACUGGUCCAUUACUGACGCUGAGGUGCGAAAGCGUGGGGGAGCGAACAGG
rnacentral:rRNA from 1 species